AGCCCUGUGGUGUACUACACGUUGGAUUGCAAAUCCAAAGAAGUAGGUUAAUCGCCUACCGGGGCUU
rnacentral:tRNA from 1 species